rnacentral:misc_RNA from 1 species
GUGGGAGGGGGCUUGCUCCCGAUGACGGUGGGUCAGCCAAUACAUGCUUGACCGAAGCACCGCUAUCGGGAGCAAGCCCCCUCCCAC